UUCUUUGCAGUUGUAGCUGAUAUCCAGAAAAGAGAUGCACCUGCUGUUAUAGUGAUGCCUGUGUUAGAUGCCUCACAGAAUAUUGAAAUAGAACCUGCUGCAUUUGCUUCUGGUCCUAGUGCUGCAAAGGUCAGCAGAGCUCAAAGUGUUGCAGCCUUUAAUGCUCCCAGUGCUGCAAUGGUCAGCAGAGCUCAAAGUGUUGCAGCCUUUAAUGCUCCCAGUGCUGCAAAGGUCAGCAGAGCUCAAAGUGUUGCAGCCUUUAAUGCUCCCAGUAAGUA